rnacentral:rRNA from 1 species
UACGGAGGGAGCUAGCGUUGUUCGGAAUUACUGGGCGUAAAGCGCACGUAGGCGGCUACUCAAGUCAGAGGUGAAAAGCCCGGGGCUCAACCCCGGAACUGCCUUUGAAACUAGGUAGCUAGAAUCUUGGAGAGGUCAGUGGAAUUCCGAGUGUAGAGGUGAAAAUUCGUAGAUAUUCGGAAGAACACCAGUGGCGAAGGCGGCUCACUGGACCGGCAUUGACGCUGAGGUGCGAAAGCGUGGGGGAGCAAACAGG